CCUACGGGUGGCAGCAGUGAGGAAUAUUGGUCAAUGGCCGAGAGGCUGAACCAGCCAAGUCGCGUGAGGGAAGACGGCCCUACGGGUUGUAAACCUCUUUUGUCGGGGAGCAAAGCGAGUCACGUGUGACUCAUUGAGAGUACCCGAAGAAAAAGCAUCGGCUAACUCCGUUCCAUCAGCCGCGGUAAUACGGAGGAUGCGAGCGUUAUCCGGAGUUAUUGGGUUUAAAGGGUGCGCAGGCGGAGGUGCAAGUCAGCGGUCAAAUUGCGGGGCUCAACCCCGUACUGCCGUUGAAACUGCAUGCCUUGAGUGCGCGAGAAGUAUGCGGAAUGCGUGGUGUAGCGGUGAAAUGCAUAGAUAUAACGCAGAACUCCGAUUGCGAAGGCAGCAUACCGGCGCGCAACUGACGCUCAUGCACGAAAGCGUGGGUAUCGAACAGGAUUAGAUACCCCAGUAGUC
rnacentral:rRNA from 1 species